rnacentral:rRNA from 1 species
AUAACUAAGCGGAGGAAAAGAAACCAAACGGGAUUCCCCUAGUAACGGCGAGUGAACAGGGAACAGCUCAGCGCCAAGUCCUGACACUUGACGUGUUCAGGAGAUGCGGCGUUAGUGUAGUGAUGCAUCGUGCACUGUCUCGUAUCUCAAGUUCCUUUGACAGGGACUCCCAGAGUGGGUGCUAGGCCCAUAGAGAUUGCAGGACUGGUGCACGCAAAUCAUUGCAUUUUAGAGUCAGGUUGCUUGAGAGUGCAGCCUAAAGCAGGUGGUAAACUCCAUCUAAGGCUAAAUAUUACAGCGAGACCGAUAGCAAACAAGUACCGUGAGGGAAAGUUGCAAAGAACUUUGAAGAGAGAGUUCAAAAGGACGUGAAACCACUAACAGGCAAACGGGUGGAACCACGAAGUGUGCCUGGGAGGCGAUUCAGUUUUCACCGAUUUGGUUGGCUGCACUUGUGCACACACACGCUACACUUGUCGGGUCCGUCUUUUCUGACCCGCCAGGUGUAGCGUGUGUGUACAACCGACGGUGGUGAUGCAUUUCGUCCUUUCCAGUGCUAAAGCCACGUCCGAUUAGAUGGUUGAAACGGCCGUAGUGGGUGAUCUGUGGAAGGUGGCCGUCAGGUGCUUGCGUUUGGCGGUGUUAUAGCCACGGAUCCGUGCCGUUGUCUAGCGUACUGAUCGGUGCAAGUUCUCCUUUUGGAGUUUUGCCAGCAAAGGGUUAGCGCACCUGUGGUUGCCUGGUUGUUGCGUCAGUCUGACCUUUCGUAUCUUCGGGUGCGUCCUAAAGACGGAUUGACGUCGGUGGCCAGUGUGCUGCUGCUGCUUGUGUGUGUGGCUAACUUGUGCAAACGGUGGUGCGAGUAGGUCGGUCUCCACCCGACCCGUCUUGAAACACGGACCAAGGAGCCUAACAUAUACGCGAGUCGCUCGGUCUUGCUUAGGCCUGAGAGGCGCAAUGAAAGUAACCGGCUAUGAGGCUGGGAGGGCACAUCAUACUGCAACCAGUCGCAAUAGCGGCCCGCCUAUUUUCUUUGUCGGGGAUAUGGCGGAGUCGGAGCGUAUACGUUGGUACCCGAAAGAUGGUGAACUAUGCCUGGGCAAGACGAAGCCAGAGGAAACUCUGGUGGAGGUCUGUAGCGAUUCUGACGUGCAAAUCGAUCGUCAGACCUGGGUAUAGGGGCGAAAGACUAAUCGAACCAUCUAGUAGCUGGUUCCCUCCGAAGUUUCCCUCAGGAUAGCAGGCGCUUGUUGAACUCAGUCUCAUCCGGUAAAGCUAAUGAUUAGAGGUCUUGGGGCCGAAACGGCCUCAACCUAUUCUCAAACUUUAAAUGGGUGAGAUGCUUGACUUACUUAAUCUCUGAAGCCAAGCAAUUGGAUGUAAGUGCCUAGUGGGCCAGCUUUGGUAAGCAGAACUGGCGCUGUGGGAUGAACCAAACGUCGAGUUAAGGCAUCAAAUGCGUACGCUCAUCAGACCCCAUGAAAGGUGUUGGUUGCUAUAGACAGCAGGACGGUGGCCAUGGAAGUCGGAAUCCGCUAAGGAGUGUGUAAAAACUCACCUGCCGAAGCAACUAGCCCUGAAAAUGGACGAUGCUGUAGCGUGGAGCCGAUACUCGACCGUUAUGACGAUCCUUUAGAAUGCGAUGUCGUAACGAGUAGGAGGGCCGCAGUGGUAGCGUUGAAGGUGUCGGACGUGAGUCCGCCUGGAGCUGCCACUGAUGCAGAUCUUGGUAGUAGUAGCAAAUACUCAAGUGAGAAUCUUGAGGACUAACGUGGAGAAAGGUUCCAUGUGAACAGCAGUUGAACAUGGGUCAGUCGGUCCUAAGGAAGCGGAGAAAUCCGUUACAACGGCCACAAUUUUUCUUACUUUUUUUUUCUUCGAGAGAGAGAGAGAGGAAUAUGGUGGAUACUGUGGACGAUUUUCCGAAAGGGCAUCGGGUUAAUAUUCCCGAACUCAGACACAGGGGGGGAGCAUCUUCGGAUGCGAAUGCGGUAACGCAGUCAAACUCGGAGACGUCGGCGGCAGCCCUAGGAAGAGUUGUCUUUUCUCUAUAAGGGGUCGACUCCAUGAAAACAGCUUGCCUGGAGAUAUGGAUGUUGACACCGAAGAGCCCCGCGGUUCUUGCGGGGUCUGGUGCGCUGCUGUCGGCCCUUGAAAAUCCGAGGGCGAGUGUUUACCUUUGUCCUGAGCCGUACUCAUAUCCGCAGCAGGUCUCCAAGGUUAACAGCCUCUAGUUUUUAGAAUAAUGUAGGUAAGGGAAGUCGGCAAAACCGAUCCGUAACUUCGGGAUAAGGAUUGGCUCUGAAGGAUGGGUCGGUCGGGCUGUGGCCAGAAGCGAGUGUUGCGCCUGACUGGGACUGGACUCCUGCCCGACGGGUUAGAGUCUGGGCCUGUGUUGGCGCCUGCUUGUGAAAAGUCAUAGCUACGCCCUGGUACCCUGUGUAUCAGGUAUCGUUUCGGCCGGCAUGCAACAUCUGACUCAGAACUGGCACGGACUCCG